UACGUAGGGUCCGAGCGUUGUCCGGAAUUACUGGGCGUAAAGAGCUCGUAGGCGGUGUGUCGCGUCGGCCGUGAAAACCUGCAGCUUAACUGUGGGCUUGCGGUCGAUACGGGCAUCACUGGAGUUCGGCAGGGGAGACUGGAAUUCCUGGUGUAGCGGUGAAAUGCGCAGAUAUCAGGAGGAACACCGGUGGCGAAGGCGGGUCUCUGGGCCGUAACUGACGCUGAGACACGAAAGCGUGGGUAGCAAACAGG
rnacentral:rRNA from 1 species